rnacentral:rRNA from 1 species
GGGCGUAAAGGGCUCGUAGGUGGUUGAUCGCGUCGGAAGUGUAAUCUUGGGGCUUAACCCUGAGCGUGCUUUCGGUACGGGUUGACUUGAGGAAGGUAGGGGAGAAUGGAAUUCCUGGUGGAGCGGUGGAAUGCGCAGAUAUCAGGAGGAACACCAGUGGCGAAGGCGGUUCUCUGGGCCUUUCCUGACGCUGAGGAGCGAAAGCGUGGGGAGCGAACAGGCUUAGAUACCCUGGUAGUCCACGCUGUAAACGGUGGGUACUAGGUGUGGGGUCCAUUCCACGGGUUCCGUGCCGUAGCUAACGCUUUAAGUACCCCGCCUGGGGAGUACGGCCGCAAGGCUAAAACUCAAAGGAAUUGACGGGGCCCCGCACAAGCGGCGGAGCAUGCGGAUUAAUUCGAUGCAACGCGUAGAACCUUACCUGGGUUUGACAUGGAUCGGGAGCGCCCAGAGAUGGGUGUGCCUCUUUUGGGGUCGGUUCACAGGUGGUGCAUGGCUGUCGUCAGCUCGUGUCGUGAGAUGUUGGUUAAGUCCCGCAACGAGCGCAACCCUUGUUCACUGUUGCCAGCACGUUAUGGUGGGGACUCAGUGGAGACCGCCGGGGUCAACUCGGAGGAAGGU